UCCUACGGGAGGCAGCAGUGAGGAAUAUUGGUCAAUGGACGAGAGUCUGAACCAGCCAAGUAGCGUGAAGGAUGACUGCCCUAUGGGUUGUAAACUUCUUUUAUAUGGGAAUAAAGUUCUCCACGUGUGGAAUUUUGUAUGUACCAUAUGAAUAAGGAUCGGCUAACUCCGUGCCAGCAGCCGCGGUAAUACGGUGGAUCCGAGCGUUAUCCGGAUUUAUUGGGUCUAAAGGGAGCGUAGGUGGAUUGUUAAGUCAGUUGUGAAAGUUUGCGGCUCAACCGUAAAAUUGCAGUUGGAACUGGCAG
rnacentral:rRNA from 1 species